GUUUUAGUUGCUCAGUGGUUAAGGCUUUGGCUUACAGAUUAGAAGGUCUGGCUUCAAAUCCCAGCUGCUAUG